GCAGAUAUAUUUUCUGAGGUUUGUGAUAGGAUUUGAAUAGUCUGAUGGCAUUAUUAACCUUAAUGGUUCUUGGUAUGCACUGAAUCAAAAGAUAUCUUCCUUAGAAGAAUGUCUCACAGAUAAAACUAAAAGCUAUUGUCUUCUCAAUAUUCUUUCUACGCUCAGAUUCAAUGUUCUUGUGAUGUGAACUUAGCAUGUUGUCAACUAGAUAUCCGUGCAAAGGAGCACAUUCACCCCUGUAGCCAUAAUUUGUCACAGCACCUUUGUUAUUUCCUCUUCAAGAUGUUAUGUACACAUUAAUUUGGU
rnacentral:lncRNA from 1 species